GCCUCCAUACCCCAACCGGUAGAGGGAGCCGGCUCAAACCCGGCAUAGUGCAGGUUCGAAUCCUGUUGGAGGCA
rnacentral:tRNA from 3 species